rnacentral:pre_miRNA from 1 species
CUUGCGUUGCAUUGUAUUCCGUAUCCCUGAGACCUUAGAGUUGUCCUGUUUUGAAUUAUUUUCGAUUAUUAUAAAAAAGAUUGACACCUCUACGGUAUCAGGUCACGGAAUAAUGCUAAACAACAU